AACGAACGCUGGCGGCAUGCCUAACACAUGCAAGUCGAACGAGAUCUUCGGGUCUAGUGGCGCGCGGGUGCGUAACGCGUGGGAAUCUGCCCUUUGGUUCGGAAUAACAGUUGGAAACGACUGCUAAUACCGGAUGAUGACGAAAGUCCAAAGAUUUAUCGCCAGAGGAUGAGCCCGCGUAGGAUUAGCUAGUUGGUGUGGUAAAGGCGCACCAAGGCGACGAUCCUUAGCUGGUCUGAGAGGAUGAUCAGCCACACUGGGACUGAGACACGGCCCAGACUCCUACGGGAGGCAGCAGUGGGGAAUACUGGACAAUGGGCGAAAGCCUGAUCCAGCAAUGCCGCGUGAGUGAUGAAGGCCUUAGGGUUGUAAAGCUCUUUUACCCGGGAUGAUAAUGACAGUACCGGGAGAAUAAGCUCCGGCUAACUCCGUGCCAGCAGCCGCCGUAA
rnacentral:rRNA from 1 species